rnacentral:rRNA from 1 species
GAUGAACGCUAGCGGCAGGCUUAAUACAUGCAAGUCGAGGGGUAGCAAGAUUGUAGCAAUACAAUUGUUGACGACCGGCAAACGGGUGCGGAACACGUACACAACCUUCCUACAAGUGGGGAAUAGCCCAGAGAAAUUUGGAUUAAUACCCCGUAACAUAGCGAUGUGGCAUCACAUUGCUAUUAUAGCUUCGGCGCUUGUUGAUGGGUGUGCGGCUGAUUAGAUAGUUGGCGGGGUAACGGCCCACCAAGUCUACGAUCAGUAGCUGAUGUGAGAGCAUGAUCAGCCACACGGGAACUGAGACACGGGCCCGACUCCUACGGGAGGCAGCAGUAAGGAAUAUUGGACAAUGGACGCAAGUUUGAUCCAGCCAUGCCGCGUGAAGGAUUAAGGUCCUCUGGAUUGUAAACUUCUUUUAUAAGGGACGAAAAAAGGUCUUUCUAGAUCGUCUGACGGUACCUUAUGAAUAAGUACCGGCUAACUCCGUGCCAGCCGCCGCGGUAAGAC